AGCUUUGUGCAGUGGCAGUAUUACAGCCAAUGAGGUUUAUCCAAGGUACAACUAUUGCUAAAAAUAAUAAUAAUAAAGCAAAAUUAUCUUUAUUUUUGUAAAAUUUAAAGAGAAAUUAAUGUCAGUGUACGUCUACA
rfam:Otolemur garnettii contig075172, whole genome shotgun sequence.